GUUUGAUCCUGGCUCAGGAUGAACGCUAGCGGCAGGCCUAAUACAUGCAAGGCGAGGGGUUGGCAACAACACCGUCGUACGGGCGCGUAACGCGUAUGCAACCUACCUAUCACAGGGGGAUAGCCUUUGGAAACAGGGAUUAAUACCGCAUAAAGCAGGGGCUUGGCAUCAAGAUACUGCUAAAGAUUUAUCGGUGAUAGAUGGGCAUGCGUCUGAUUAGUUAGAUGGUGAGGUAACGGCUCACCAUGACGAUGAUCAGUAGGGGGCGUCAGAGCGUGGUCCCCCACACUGGCACUGAGAUACGGGCCAGACUCCUACGGGAGGCAGCAGUAGGGAAUAUUGGGCAAUGGAUGCAAGUCUGACCCAGCCAUGCCGCGUGGAGGAAGAAGGUCCUCUGGAUUGUAAACUCCUUUUGUCGGGGAAGAAGAGUCAUCUUGCGAGGUGAUGUGACGGUACCCGAUGAAUAAGCCACGGCUAACUACGUGCCAGCAGCCGCGGUAAUACGUAGGUGGCAAGCGUUGUCCGGAUUUAUUGGGUUUAAAGGGUGCGUAGGUGGUUUAUUAAGUCAGUGGUGAAAGCUGGUUGCUCAACAAUCAAGUUGCCAUUGAUACUGAUAGACUUGAGAGAAGUGGAGGUUCAUGGAAUGGAUGGUGUAGCGGUGAAAUGCAUAGACAUCAUCCAGAACGUCGAUUGCGAAGGCAGUGGGCUGUACUUUUUCUGACACUGAGGCACGAAAGCGUGGGGAUCAAACAGGAUUAGAUACCCUGGUAGUCCACGCUGUAAACGAUGCGA
rnacentral:rRNA from 2 species